rnacentral:rRNA from 1 species
CCUACGGGAGGCAGCAGUAGGGAAUUUUGCGCAAUGGGCGAAAGCCUGACGCAGCAACGCCGCGUGAUCGAGACGCCCUUCGGGGUGUAAAGAUCUGUCAGUGGGGACGAAACUUGACGGUACCCACAGAGGAAGCACCGGCUAACUCCGUGCCAGCAGCCGCGGUAAUACGGGGGGUGCAAGCGUUGUCCGGAAUCAUUGGGCGUAAAGAGUUCGUAGGCGGCACGUAAAGUCAGCUGUAAAAUCGCGCGGCUCAACCGCGCCCCGCAGUUGAAACUGGACGCCUUGAGUUCACAACAGGCAGGCGGAAUUCGUGGUGUAGCGGUGAAAUGCAUAGAUAUCACGAGGAACCCCGAUUGCGAAGGCAGCCUGCCGGGGUGCGACUGACGCUGAGGCUCGAAGGUGCGGGUAUCAAACAGGAUUAGAUACCCUUGUAGUC